rnacentral:rRNA from 1 species
CAGUAGCCGCGGUAAUACGUAGGUCCCGAGCGUUGUCCGGAUUUAUUGGGCGUAAAGGGAGCGCAGGCGGUUUAGUAAGUCUGGAGUUAAAGGCAUUGGCUCAACCAAUGUAUGCUUUGGAAACUGUUAGACUUGAGUGCAGAAGGGGAGAGUGGAAUUCCAUGUGUAGCGGUGAAAUGCGUAGAUAUAUGGAGGAACACCGGUGGCGAAAGCGGCUCUCUGGUCUGUCACUGACGCUGAGGAGCGAAAGCGUGGGGAGCGAACAGGAUUAGAUACCCGGGUAGUCCCUGUCUCUUAUACA